AGUUUGUGGAGCAUCUGCUGGUGGUCCAGGAGAGCUGGCUGGUCAUGUGGUGCUUCCCUUUCAUUUUUCAUUUCAAAAAAAGGCCAGUGAAAAUAAGGAUAAGGAGGCAGUUUGCUGCUAAUGGCUGUUUCUACCCGGGGGAAGAGAAGAAAGGAGUCUGGAGCUGCUAAUUAAGGACUGGAGCCACCAGUGGGACUGAGGCUACCAAACAUCCACAGCAGAAGAAUGUCCAGGGAAGUAACAGAGGGAAUGAGACAGCCAGGAUUCUAGAAGAACUGUCAGCUGAGGAGGGUAGUGCUAUGCAUCAGCUCAAGGUGGCCCAGAAAUUCAGAACACAGGAAAGAGUGUGACUCCCUCCCAGGUCUGACCUCUUGACCAUCUGAAGGCAUGGAUCUUCCUGCUGCCCCUUGGAUUUCUGCUUAUUGCCAUCUCUGCUACUUCCAUGGGACGUCCCCUCUCCCUGGACACUCUGUUGGAAUCAAGCGCCUGCCAGCUCAAGGAGAAUAUUAUUCAAUUCAACGCAAGCCACAAUGAAAGCUCCAGAUUAUGCUGCUUUGUGUCCUUCAUGAGAAAAUUGGCUUCUCAUGAAAAAUGGACACUUCUGCCAGGUUGCAUGGGAAAUAGGGAUUUGGGAACAACCUACAGGCUUCUUCUGUGUGCAUCAUAGAGACUAGACAUACUUCAGAGAUGCUGGGAUGAAGAAUUGGUUACACUCCAUUGACUUCAGGUAUGUAGCAUCUGCUUGCUCUAGGGCUGAAUUUAGCCAGAUGUGUGGAUUAACAAAAAUGGACCCCAAACCGAAAAACUGGAUCUGAACCUCUUCUCCCACCAAAAUUUGGCCAAGACUGGACCUCAACUUGAAUCAUGGUCCUUUAUUUAUAAAUAGGAUUGGAAGGAUUAGAUUUAUAAUGGUAAAUGUUGAUUUCACUGUGCACACAAAACAAAUAUUUCCACUGAUUUUGUUUUUGCAUCAUGCCUGUAAUUAAUAGCUAUCU
rnacentral:lncRNA from 1 species